CAAUUGGGGGCGGUGCUAUUACAUGCAAGUCGAACGAACUCUGGGUAUUGAUUGGUGCUUGCAUCAUGAUUUACAUUUGAGUGAGUGGCGAACUGGUGAGUAACACGUGGGAAACCUGCCCAGAAGCGGGGGAUAACACCUGGAAACAGAUGCUAAUACCGCAUAACAACUUGGACCGCAUGGUCCGAGUUUGAAAGAUGGCUUCGGCUAUCACUUUUGGAUGGUCCCGCGGCGUAUUAGCUAGAUGGUGGGGUAACGGCUCACCAUGGCAAUGAUACGUAGCCGACCUGAGAGGGUAAUCGGCCACAUUGGGACUGAGACACGGCCCAAACUCCUACGGGAGGCAGCAGUAGGGAAUCUUCCACAAUGGACGAAAGUCUGAUGGAGCAACGCCGCGUGAGUGAAGAAGGGUUUCGGCUCGUAAAACUCUGUUGUUAAAGAAGAACAUAUCUGAGAGUAACUGUUCAGGUAUUGACGGUAUUUAACCAGAAAGCCACGGCUAACUACGUGCCAGCAGCCGCGGUAAUACGUAGGUGGCAAGCGUUGUCCGGAUUUAUUGGGCGUAAAGCGAGCGCAGGCGGUUUUUUAAGUCUGAUGUGAAAGCCUUCGGCUCAACCGAAGAAGUGCAUCGGAAACUGGGAAACUUGAGUGCAGAAGAGGACAGUGGAACUCCAUGUGUAGCGGUGAAAUGCGUAGAUAUAUGGAAGAACACCAGUGGCGAAGGCGGCUGUCUGGUCUGUAACUGACGCUGAGGCUCGAAAGUAUGGGUAGCAAACAGGAUUAGAUACCCUGGUAGUCCAUACCGUAAACGAUGAAUGCUAAGUGUUGGAGGGUUUCCGCCCUUCAGUGCUGCAGCUAACGCAUUAAGCAUUCCGCCUGGGGAGUACGGCCGCAAGGCUGAAACUCAAAGGAAUUGACGGGGGCCCGCACAAGCGGUGGAGCAUGUGGUUUAAUUCGAAGCUACGCGAAGAACCUUACCAGGUCUUGACAUACUAUGCAAAUCUAAGAGAUUAGACGUUCCCUUCGGGGACAUGGAUACAGGUGGUGCAUGGUUGUCGUCAGCUCGUGUCGUGAGAUGUUGGGUUAAGUCCCGCAACGAGCGCAACCCUUAUUAUCAGUUGCCAGCAUUAAGUUGGGCACUCUGGUGAGACUGCCGGUGACAAACCGGAGGAAGGUGGGGAUGACGUCAAAUCAUCAUGCCCCUUAUGACCUGGGCUACACACGUGCUACAAUGGAUGGUACAACGAGUUGCGAACUCGCGAGAGUAAGCUAAUCUCUUAAAGCCAUUCUCAGUUCGGAUUGUAGGCUGCAACUCGCCUACAUGAAGUCGGAAUCGCUAGUAAUCGCGGAUCAGCAUGCCGCGGUGAAUACGUUCCCGGGCCUUGUACACACCGCCCGUCACACCAUGAGAGUUUGUAACACCCAAAGUCGGUGGGGUAACCUUUUAGGAACCAGCCGCCUAAAGGUGAACCAGUUUGG
rnacentral:rRNA from 1 species